UGAGGAUUUGCCUCAGCAGUCUAUGCAGCAGGCGGGAGUAACUGAGGGAUCGUGAAGCUAUUCUGCUAAACACUCGUAGCCACCUCAGCCAGUUCCGCUAUUAUACAGCUGACUGAGAUUUCUCAAGAUCAUCAGUUUGGACAGAAUUCAUUUGAAGAAUUAAUAGCACUAGCAGGUUCUAAUAAAGGC